rnacentral:rRNA from 1 species
CCUACGGGUGGCAGCAGUGAGGAAUAUUGGUCAAUGGACGCGAGUCUGAACCAGCCAAGUAGCGUGAAGGAUGACUGCCCUACGGGUUGUAAACUUCUGUUAUAUAGGAAUAAAAUGAGCCACGUGUGGGUUUUUGUAUGUACUUUAUGAAUAAGGAUCGGCUAACUCCGUGCCAGCAGCCGCGGUAAUACGGAGGAUCCGAUCGUUAUCCGGAUUUAUUGGGUUUAAAGGGAGCGUAGGUGGAUUGUUAAGUCAGUUGUGAAAGUUUGCGGAUCAACCGUAAAAUUGCAAUUGAUACUGGCAGUCUUGAGUACAGUAGAGGUAGGCGGAAUUCGUGGUGUAGCGGUGAAAUGCUUAGAUAUCACGAAGAACUCCGAUUGCGAAGGCAGCUCACUAAACUGCCACUGACACUGAGGCUCGAAAGUGUGGGUAUCAAACAGGAUUAGAUACCCUAGUAGUC